AUGUUCGAGUAUCUAAAUGUUGUCAGCAAGAUGUUUGAUAGUGAGACUGAAGGCUAUGAAUUCUACAACAAAUAUGCUCUUGAAAAAGGUUUUAGUGUGAGGAAAAGCUACGUUGAGUGGGAUGGAUCGAACAAAUACAUAAUUUUAAGGAAAAUUGUGUGUAGUCGUCAAGGGUUUCGCGAAGAGAAGCACAUGAAAAGAAAGAUGGAAGAUAGAAAGAGGAGGCCAUGA
rnacentral:rRNA from 1 species